UACGGGGGGGAGCAAGCGUUGUUCGGAUUUACUGGGCGUAAAGGGCGCGUAGGCGGUCAGCACAAGUCAGUUGUGAAAUCUCCGGGCUUAACUCGGAAAGGUCAACUGAUACUGUGCGACUAGAGUGCAGAAGGGGCAACUGGAAUUCUCGGUGUAGUGGUGGAAUGCGUAGAGAUCGGGAGGAACACCAGUGGCGAAAGCGGCUCUCUGGUCCAAAAACUG
rnacentral:rRNA from 1 species